rnacentral:rRNA from 1 species
UACGUAGGUGGCAAGCGUUGUCCGGAUUUACUGGGCGUAAAGGGCGUGCAGGCGGUCUGUUAAGUCUAGGGUGAAAGCUCCCGGCUCAACUGGGAGAGGUCCUUGGAUACUGGCGGACUUGAGGGAGGCAGAGGAAAGUGGAAUUCCCGGUGUAGUGGUGAAAUGCGUAGAUAUCGGGAGGAACACCAGUGGCGAAGGCGGUUGCCUGGGGCUUUGCUGACGCUGAUGCGCGAAAGCGUGGGGAGCGAUCCGG